AGAUUGAACGCUGACGGCAUGCUUAACACAUGCAAGUCGAACGGUAACGCGGGGGCAACCCUGGCGACGAGUGGCGGACGGGUGAGGAAUGCUUGGGAAUCUGCCUGUUAGUGGGGGACAACCCGGGGAAACUCGGGCUAAUACCGCAUACGCUCUACGGAGGAAAGCGGGGGACCGUAAGGCCUCGCGCUAACAGAUGAGCCCAAGUCGGAUUAGCUAGUUGGUGGGUAAAAGCCUACCAAGGCUACGAUCCGUAGCUGGUCUGAGAGGACGAUCAGCCACACUGGGACUGAGACACGGCCCAGACUCCUACGGGAGGCAGCAGUGGGGAAUAUUGGACAAGUGGGGGAAACCCUGAUCCAGCAAUGCCGCGUGUGUGAAGAAGG
rnacentral:rRNA from 1 species